rnacentral:lncRNA from 1 species
GGUCGUCGCCGAUGAGGGAGGAAGACGAAGGAAAGAACGUGAGGGGAGAGAGAGCCCUUGAAAAUUGAAAAGAGGAGAGAGGUUUUUCUUGAGCGGGAGUGCGAAGGAAAGAACGUGAGGAGAGAGAGAGCCCUUGGAAAUUGAAAAAAAGAGAGAGGUUUUUUUUGAGCGGGAGUGCGCUUUUACUGUUCUGUCUUUCCUCCGUGCGUUCUCUCGAGCAGAGGAG